UCCCUUCUGGGGGGGGGGGGAGUGGGAAUCUUCGGCAAUGGGGGCAACCCUGACCGAGCAACGCCGCGUGAGUGAAGAAGGUUUUCGGAUCGUAAAGCUCUGUUGUAAGUCAAGAACGAGUGUGAGAGUGGAAAGUUCACACUGUGACGGUAGCUUACCAGAAAGGGACGGCUAACUACGUGCCAGCAGCCGCGGUAAUACGUAGGUCCCGAGCGUUGUCCGGAUUUAUUGGGCGUAAAGCGAGCGCAGGCGGUUUGAUAAGUCUGAAGUUAAAGGCUGUGGCUCAACCAUAGUUCGCUUUGGAAACUGUCAAACUUGAGUGCAGAAGGGGAGAGUGGAAUUCCAUGUGUAGCGGUGAAAUGCGUAGAUAUAUGGAGGAACACCGGUGGCGAAAGCGGCUCUCUGGUCUGUAACUGACGCUGAGGCUCGAAAGCGUGGGGAGCGAACAGGAUUAGAUACCCUGGUAGUCCACGCCGUAAACGAUGAGUGCUAGGUGUUGGGUCCUUUCCGGGAUUCAGUGCCGCAGCUAACGCAUUAAGCACUCCGCCUGGGAGUGACCG
rnacentral:rRNA from 1 species